UACAGAGGUCUCAAGCGUUGUUCGGAUUCAUUGGGCGUAAAGGGUGCGUAGGCGGCGCGGUAAGUCGGGUGUGAAAUCUCGGAGCUUAACUCCGAACUGCAUUCGAUACUGCCGUGCUUGAGGACUGGAGAGGAGACUGGAAUUUACGGGUGUAGCGGUGAAAUGCGUAGAUAUCGGUAAGGAAGACCAGUGGCGAAGGCGGGUCUCGUGGACAGUUCCUGACGCUGAGGCACGAAGGCCAGGGGAGCAAAACGGG
rnacentral:rRNA from 1 species